rnacentral:sRNA from 1 species
GCUGGGCACAGUGGCCCAUGCCUAUAAUCCCCGUGGCUCGGGAGGCUGAGCCAGGAGGAUUGCAAGUUCAAAGCCAGCCUCAGCAAAGCAAGACUCUAAGCAACACAGUGAGACCCUGUCUCUA